GUAACGGUGUCUUUAGACACCACCCUUUGUCUUAUAAUUUUUCUU
rfam:Picea glauca, whole genome shotgun sequence.